rnacentral:rRNA from 1 species
UACGGAGGGGGCGAGCGUUAUUCGGAAUUAUUGGGCGUAAAGGGCGCGUAGGCGGCUUGGUAAGUCAAAGGUGAAAUCCCUCGGCUCAACUGAGGAAUGGCCUUUGAAACUGCCUGGCUCGAGGCCGGGAGGGGGUAGCGGAAUUCCCAGUGUAGCGGUGAAAUGCGUAGAUAUUGGGAGGAACACCGGUGGCGAGGGCGGCUUCCUGGACCGAUACUGACGCUGAGGCGCGAAAGCUAGGGGAGCAAACGGG